rnacentral:rRNA from 1 species
AGAGUUUGAUCAUGGCUCAGAUUGAACGCUGGCGGCAUGCCUUACACAUGCAAGUCGAACGGCAGCACGGGGGCAACCCUGGUGGCGAGUGGCGAACGGGUGAGUAAUACAUCGGAACGUGUCCUGUAGUGGGGGAUAGCCCGGCGAAAGCCGGAUUAAUACCGCAUACGCUCUACGGAGGAAAGGGGGGGAUCUUCGGACCUCCCGCUACAGGGGCGGCCGAUGGCAGAUUAGCUAGUUGGUGGGGUAAAGGCCUACCAAGGCGACGAUCUGUAGCUGGUCUGAGAGGACGACCAGCCACACUGGGACUGAGACACGGCCCAGACUCCUACGGGAGGCAGCAGUGGGGAAUUUUGGACAAUGGGGGAAACCCUGAUCCAGCAAUGCCGCGUGUGUGAAGAAGGCCUUCGGGUUGUAAAGCACUUUUGUCCGGAAAGAAAACCUCCGCCCUAAUAUGGUGGGGGGAUGACGGUACCGGAAGAAUAAGCACCGGCUAACUACGUGCCAGCAGCCGCGGUAAUACGUAGGGUGCAAGCGUUAAUCGGAAUUGCUGGGCGUAAAGCGUGCGCAGGCGGUCCGCUAAGACAGAUGUGAAAUCCCCGGGCUUAACCUGGGAACUGCAUUUGUGACUGGCGGGCUAGAGUAUGGCAGAGGGGGGUAGAAUUCCACGUAGCAGUGAAAUGCGUAGAGAUGUGGAGGAAUACCGAUGGCGAAGGCAGCCCCCUGGGCCAAUACUGACGCUCAUGCACGAAAGCGUGGGGAGCAAACAGGAUUAGAUACCCUAGUAGUCC